GAUGAACGCUGGCGGCGUGCCUAAUACAUGCAAGUCGAGCGAACAGAUAAGGAGCUUGCUCCUUUGACGUUAGCGGCGGACGGGUGAGUAACACGUGGGUAACCUACCUAUAAGACUGGGAUAACUUCGGGAAACCGGAGCUAAUACCGGAUAACAUUUGGAACCGCAUGGUUCUAAAGUGAAAGAUGGUUUUGCUAUCACUUAUAGAUGGACCCGCGCCGUAUUAGCUAGUUGGUAAGGUAACGGCUUACCAAGGCAACGAUACGUAGCCGACCUGAGAGGGUGAUCGGCCACACUGGAACUGAGACACGGUCCAGACUCCUACGGGAGGCAGCAGUAGGGAAUCUUCCGCAAUGGGCGAAAGCCUGACGGAGCAACGCCGCGUGAGUGAUGAAGGGUUUCGGCUCGUAAAACUCUGAUAUUAGGGAAGAACAAAUGUGUAAGUAACUGUGCACGUCUUGACGGUACCUAAUCAGAAAGCCACGGCUAACUACGUG
rnacentral:rRNA from 1 species